GACAGAGGGUGCAAACGUUGUUCGGAAUUACUGGGCGUAAAGCGCGUGUAGGCGGCCCUGCAAGUCGGAUGUGAAAUCCCACGGCUCAACCGUGGAAGUGCAUUCGAAACUGCAGGGCUAGAGUCCUGGAGAGGAAGGUGGGAUGCUUGGUGUAGAGGUGAAAUUCGUAGAUAUCAAGCGGAACACCGGUGGCGAAGGCGGCCUUCUGGACAGUGACUGACGCUGAGACGCGAAAGCGUGGGGAGCAAACAGG
rnacentral:rRNA from 1 species